CAGUCGCCGCGGGAAUACGAAGGGGGCUAGCGUUGUUCGGAAUUACUGGGCGUAAAGCGCACGUAGGCGGACAUUUAAGUCAGGGGUGAAAUCCCGGGGCUCAACCCCGGAACUGCCUUUGAUACUGGGUGUCUAGAGUAUGGAAGAGGUGAGUGGAAUUCCGAGUGUAGAGGUUAAAUUCGUAGAUAUUCGGAGGAACACCAGUGGCGAAGGCGGCUCACUGGUCCAUUACUGACGCUGAGGUGCGAAAGCGUGGGGAGCAAACAGGAUUAGAUACCCCCGUAGUCCCUGUCUCUUAUAC
rnacentral:rRNA from 1 species